rnacentral:rRNA from 1 species
AAUGAACGCUGGCGGCGUGCUUAACACAUGCAAGUCGAACGGGAAAGUCCUUCGGGCGAGUACAGUGGCAAACGGGUGAGAAACGCGUGAGAAUCUUCCUUCUAGUGGAGAAUACCCUCGAGAAAUCGAGGCUAAUACUGCAUACGUCCCUUCGGGGAGAAAGGUGGCCUCUUGCUACCGCUGGAAGAUGAGCUUGCGUACUAUUAGCUAGUUGGUGAGGUAAAGGCUCACCAAGGCAAUGAUGGUUAGCUGGCCUGAGAGGGUGACCAGCCACACUGGGACUGAGAUACGGCCCAGACUCCUACGGGUGGCUG